rnacentral:rRNA from 1 species
UACGUAGGGGGCAAGCGUUGUCCGGAUUUAUUGGGCGUAAAGAGCGUGUAGGCGGCCAUACAGGUCAGCUGUGAAAACUCGAGGCUCAACCUCGAGACGUCGGUUGAAACCGUAUGGCUAGAGUCCGGAAGAGGAGAGUGGAAUUCCCGGUGUAGCGGUGAAAUGCGCAGAUAUCGGGAAGAACACCUAUGGCGAAGGCAGCUCUCUGGGACGGUACUGACGCUGAGACGCGAAAGCGUGGGGGGCGAACAGG